rnacentral:rRNA from 1 species
GACGAACGCUGGCGGCGCGCUUAACACAUGCAAGUCGAGCGAAGCGGCGGACGGGUGAGUAACACGUGAGUAAUCUGCUUUAGACCUUGGGAUAGCCUCGGGAAACCGGGUUCAAUACCACAUGGUCAAAGGUGGACUCGCGUCCCAUUAGCUAGUUGGUGGGGAACGGCCCACCAAGGCGACGAGGGGUAGCCGGCCUGGGAGGGUGAACGGCCACGUUGGAAAUGGGUAACGGUCCAAACUCUGCGGGGAGCAGCAGGUGGGAAUAUUGCACAAUGAAGGGAACUGUGUUGCAGCGGCGGGGCGUGAACGGAGAAGGCUUUCGAGUCGUAGAGUUCUUUUAUAUGGGAAGCGGUACCAGAAGAAAAAGCCCCGGCUAACUACGUGCCAGCAGCCGCGGUAAUUC